CCCACCCUUCCUGUUCCGGUCAAGCUUCUUGACCGUUGACGUCACAGCCCUUUCCUUCCGGCUCAUCUCAUUCCCACAUGGCAAAAAAUCUGAGUCUGU